rnacentral:lncRNA from 1 species
AGAAUUUAUAAUAUCCUAGAUAUUAUGCUAUGCUGUUUAUAUGCAUUAUUUCAAAAAUACUCACAAUUAUGAGUUAUGAAUGAUCCUUAUGCCUAUUACAAUGAUGACAAUUCUGAGGCUUAGGUUAAAUAAUUGCAAGAGUUCACAAAAGCAGCAAAGGAUUGGAACCAAGACUUGAAUGCAGAUGACCUGACCCAAAGCCUAUGCAUGUAACAGUUUUUUAUAUUGAUGUGUGUAACGGUUAACUUUAUGUGUCAACUUGACUGUACCAGGGGGUGCUAAGAUUAAAUAUUAUUUCGGGGCGUGUCUGGGAAGACAUUUCUGGAUGAGAUUAGCAUUUGAAUUAGUGGACUCAGUAAAGUAAAUGUUCCUCCCCAGUGUGAGUGGUCAUCAUUCAAUCCAUGGAGGGCCUAAAUAGAACAAAAAGGCAGAAGAAGGUGAAAUUCACCCCUUUUACUUCCUGCCUGCCUGCUUGAGCUAAGCCAUUAGUCUUCUCCGAUUCUUGUACUGGGAUUUACAUCAUUGACUUUCCUGGUUCUCAGGCAUUCAGACUCAGACUGGAAUUACGCUGCCGGCUUUCCUGGGUCCUCAGCUUGCAGAGGGCAGAUCAUGGGACUUCUGUGUUUCCAUAAUUGUGUGAGCCAGUUCCGAAUAAUAAAUCUCUCUCUCUCAUGUGUGUGAAAUUGAUGAUAAAAACUUGGAGAAGACUGCUGUAUUGGAUUACAGGUUCAUAUGUUCUAAGCAAGAGAGAAAAGCCUAAAAUCUAUUUCUCUGUCAUGAUACUGCUCGAAGGUAAGUGAUUUGGAGCUGAUUCGGUGUCUUACCAUUCUUAACAUGAUACUUGGAUCUCAGACUGUCGGGUGGUUGCUACUAUAUACAUCAUCUCAGUCAGCUGAAAGGAAAAUGAGCCAGAAGAGUCUGUACAACAUUUUAGAAGUAUAACUGGGAAGUGGCGUUAUCACUUCUGCUCAUUCUUUGUUGGUUAAAAUUUUGUCACGUGUCCACACAAAACCUCAAGGAAGUCUGGAAGUGGAAACCGUAGCUGUGUGCAGAUGUCACUAGCUAAAACUGAGGAGUUCUGUCAUUAAAGAAGGGAUGAAUACGUAUGAGGGGACGACUAUUAGUCUAUUCCUUAAUCCAUUUCUGUGGCAACCCUAAUAUCCAUCUGUAUCCCUUUUUCCACACAUAGAACCCACAUAAUCACAUCCAUAGAUGGCAACCAAAGCCACAUCCAGUAGUGUCGUUUAGCUGAAAGUGCCAGACCUCUGAAUGGUGAUUGGUUCUCUCCAUUAAGUCAGUCUGGAUUUACUGGUGUUUUGGUGACCUAUAAACUAAUAGAAAAAUUACUUGCUUCCUCCCCACACACACUUAACGGUAAUGGAGAAAGACAGGGAUAACUUCAAUUAAAAUAUCAUUCAGAAAAGAGAAUAAAGGGAAAUACAGAGCAGUCACUUGCCCACAGCAAUAACGAAAUCCUGUGAGCAAGCGUUGGCAGGGCAAAAUGUCCUUGGUUAGUUCUUGUUCUUGUCUCUAGAGAAAGCCCUUUGUGCAUUUUCGUCUCUGGUGUCUUUUGCCAUUUUCUUCUGUGACCAUAUCUGAAGUGUGUUGGAAAAUGUGUUCUCCUGAGGGCUGCACAGCUUGUUCAGUUUGGGGACAUAGAAGCUGCUUGAGGAGUUGAACAAUUACGUGCAUUUCAGGCUAGUUUGUGCUUUCAGUGGCAGCAAAAAUUCCUCGAUAACUUAGUAGAUGCAUUCAAUUUGCUUUCUCUUUCAUUUCCAUGGUAAGGAGUCAUCGAUGCAAAUUAUGUCUGGAUAUAGUUCUUCAACUUAAAGUCUUUCACUUAUUUAGUGGUCUUUGUGCUCGGCUUUUCCUUUCUCCAGCAUUUUACUGUGCUUUUUUUUUGUCUAUAUGAAAACCCAGGCUUGGUCUGUUAUUAUUUGUUUGUUGGCACAGUCUGCUUCUCAAGUUAUCACAAGCAACUUCCAACCCAUAAUUACAGUGUCCUCCUGAUUACUGCUAAGCCAGUGCCAUAUAUUUUAGGGUUUUGUGAGAACAGCAGGCUACUUCCAGUACAAAUUUCUGGUUUGGAUAGGAUAUAGUCCAAUCUUUUAUAAUAAAGAGACCUUAAAUAUAACAGUUUAUGCAAGAUAGAUAGAUAGAUAGAUUUUCUUUUCUUUCUAAAACAGUCCAGAGGUAGAUAAUUCAGAGCUUUUAGAGUAACGUUUCCAUAUUUACCAUGAAGUUUCCAUUUUGAGAGUCAAAGUUGUGAAACAGUUCUCACUGAUUCCUUGAUGGGGGAAGUAGGAAAAAAAUCAGGGGAGGAGGUACUCACUCAUUUUCUGGGUAAUGCACAAGAAGAAAAACAUUUGCUCCCACCCAUUUGAUUAGAAUUGUGUCACACGGAUCCACCAAGCUUCAAGAGGCAUGGAAAGUUAGUGAGUUACUGUGAAUAGAAAUUAUACCAAACUAUUAACAGUUCUUAUCUCUGGUGGGAUGUGCUUGUGAGAGUUUCAUUUUCUCUAUGAUUUACUUAGACUUUGUCCACUUAUUCAUUUUACUGUCUCUCUACUUUUUAGAUGUUUUACAGUCAUCAUCUAUCACUUGCAUGCUCCAAUACUAUUUAAAAAUUAAUUAAACCUGAAUUCUACAAUUAGGCAUUGUGAGAGAUGGUAUAAUGAAAGUUGUCUGAAGGUUUAAUGCACAAGAUAAGCCUUUGAAGAACUCUGGAGGAGAAACUGGCUGAUAAAAAGAUAUGGAACUGGAAAUCUGUGAAAAGAGAGAGAAUGAUCUUGUUUGGCAAUAGUAAAAUUCUUCCUAAGAAAUAAAACAGAUUAAGGAGUUGAGAGAGAGAGAGAAAGAAAGAGGGAG